rnacentral:lncRNA from 1 species
UUCACUUCCUUCCUUGAGGUUGAUGUAGUGUGAGACUUCUCUAGCUGGGGGAAGUCGAUCGAGCUCCUAAAAAAGACCCUAAAACUCAAUCAACGACUUUCGUAAUUUUGGCUUGGCAUUGGCAGAAUCGGCUGUGUCGAUGGAGAGACUGCAUACAGAGAAGGUCGUCCACUGGCUUUCUUGCUGAUCUCUUCCAACGAGGCGGCUUGAAUAGGAGGGGCAUCCAGACCUCGCAGAAGCUGCUUCUGAUGGUUCCAUUGGAAUGCCAUAGUGAGCCUCUUCCAAUCGCAGGUCACGGUGCCGAGGUUUUCUAACCACUGGACACCCAAAACAUCCAACCUUGUCAGUGGUAAAGAAAAGAGUGUGAGUGAAAAUGAGGUACCUUGGAUUUACAGGGGGACAUUGUCAAACUGUCCUUGGCACUUCAAGGUGCUGCUGUUGGCCACCUUCACUGAAAACGGGGCUGUUGGAGCGACCGGAAGCUGUAAUCGGCUUGCUACCUUUUCACAAAUGAAAUUGUGCGUGGAGCCGUUGUCGAUGAGAGUGACUACUUCCUGAUGUAUGGUGGUGGUGAUAACUCGCAUGGUGCGAGCCAGUAUCCAGCCCAUGAGGGCGUGCAAGGAGAUUUCGAGCUCGGGACCAUCUGUUUCUUCGUUUCUUGCCACGUCCUUCAAGUAGCAGGAGUUGCGGUUUCCGACAAUGGUGGUCAGCCGUGAAGCGCUCGUCGCAGUUGAAGCACAACCCUUGAGAUCUCCGUCGAUGCAUUUCUUCCUAGGUGAGCCUCUUGGACGCUGCGGGCGUGGCGGCUAGGGUUCGCGGAAGAGUAUCGGGUAAGGAUGACAGGUGCUGGGCGGGUUGGGCUCUCCCGGGUCAGGUCAGUCAAUUUUGUCGAUCCACCUGUUCUUCCUGCAUUCGGGCCAGACCCAUGGCGUCUCUAAGUGUCCUGGGCUUGAACAUCCGAAUCUCAUUCGCUAUCUCGGGCUUGAGCCCACCAAUGAAGGCUCCAACUAGGGCUCGUUAAGGCCACCCAUGGACUCUGUUGCCCAAUUUUUCGAAUUCUCUCUAAUAAUCACGGAGUGGGCCGAUCUGGCGGAUGUGGACUAGAGCCUCAUCAAAGUCUUCAAACUCGGUCGAUCCGAACCGCAUCCACAGCUCCUCUUCAAACCCAGUCCAGGCAAGUUCUUUUCCCUCUUCUCUGUAAUUUCGGUUCAGCCAUUGCCACCACUGAUUGGCCUCUCAUUCCAGGUGGUAGGUUGCCAGAGACACUUUGUGCUGCUCGGUGGUGCCUUGAUAGGAGAAGAAUUGGCCGACCCAGCACACC